rnacentral:rRNA from 1 species
UACAGAGGUCUCAAGCGUUGUUCGGAUUCAUUGGGCGUAAAGGGUGCGUAGGUGGCGCCGUAAGUCGGGUGUGAAAUUUCGGAGCUUAACUCCGAAACUGCAUUCGAUACUACCGUGCUUGAGGACUGGAGAGGAGACUGGAAUUUACGGUGUAGCGGUGAAAUGCGUAGAUAUCGUAAGGAAGACCAGUGGCGAAGGCGGGUCUCUGGACAGUUCCUGACGCUGAGGCACGAAGGCCAGGGGAGCAAACGGG